CUGUUAAAAAGCUCGUAGUUGGAUCAGAGCUGGACUGUGCGCAGUGGCCUCGUUAGUCGUGGUGGGUCCUGCUCACCCCGACGGCGGCGGAACUACCCUGCGCAUUACGCAGUCCACUCUAGCAGGCCGAAACGGUUCCCUGUGAGUAGGCCCCUUCAUUGGAGUCGAAAGCGCCAACGCAUCAACCAUAUGCAUACGGGACGUCGGCCAAUGUUACUGUGAACAAACCAGCGUGUCCAAAGCAGGCCUUCGCCUGAAUGUUCGAGCAUGGAAUAACAAGGGAUCGAUUCUCUCGGUUCUUUUUGUUGGUUUUUAACCCGAGAAGGAGUAAUUCAGUCCACGGUGUCUGAGUUGGGUUACCCUAGGUUUCGGCUUAGGCCCCAAUUAGGCCGUGUGCUUACGGGAUCAAUAGGGACUGACGGGGUCGUACGUACUUCCGCGUCAGAGGUGGAUUCUUAGAU
rnacentral:rRNA from 1 species